UAGGGGACCCAUGUGAAGACUGAAGUG
rnacentral:piRNA from 1 species